GCAACCCUCGUGCCACUGGCAUCUACCAUGUCAACAGCAGAAGGUCCCCACCACCAAAAGAUCCCUAUAGACACAGCUCCUAUAGACCCAGUGUGGACGUGGCAGCCCCCACCACACCGGUGAUGGUAGAAGAUCCACCAUCCCUGUGACCUGAAGAGCUCUGUGGUGGGGCCUGAGGCUUUGUUGGUGUCUGCAUCAUGGUGGGACAACAACCAAAGGCAACCAACCAUUGACCACAACACGCAACCUGU